GCCCGGGUGGCGGAACAGGUAGACGCAAGGGACUUAAAAUCCCUUGGUGCGCAAGCGCCGUGCGGGUUCGAGUCCCGCCCCGGGCA
rnacentral:tRNA from 1 species